rnacentral:rRNA from 1 species
AAGUCUAGUGGCGAAAGGGUGCGUAACACGUGGGCAAUCUGCCGAGAAGUGGGGGAUAGCUCGCCGAAAGGCGAAUUAAUACCGCAUGUGGUUAGCGAAGACAUCUUCGCGACACUGAAGCCGGGGCAACCUGGCGCUUCUUGAUGAGCCCGCGCCCUAUCAGCUAGUUGGUGAGGUAACGGCUCACCAAGGCUAUGACGGGUAGCUGGUCUGAGAGGACGACCAGCCACACUGGAACUGAGACACGGUCCAGACACCUACGGGUGGCAGCAGUCGAGAAUUUUUCUCAAUGGGGGAAACCCUGAAGGAGCGACGCCGCGUGGAGGAUGAAGGUCUUCGGAUUGUAAACUCCUGUCAUUCGGGAACAAGGUCUUCACGUUAACUGCGUGAAGGAUUGCUAGUACCGGAAGAGGAAGGGACGGCUAACUCUGUGCCAGCAGCCGCGGUAAUACAGAGGUCCCAAGCGUUGUUCGGAUUCAUUGGGCGUAAAGGGUGCGUAGGCGGCGUCGUAAGUCGGAUGUGAAAUCUCAGGGCUCAACCCUGAAACUGCAUUCGAUACUGCGGUGCUCGAGGACUGGAGAGGAGACUGGAAUUCACGGUGUAGCAGUGAAAUGCGUAGAUAUCGUGAGGAAGACCAAUGGCCGAAAGCAGGUCUCUGGACAGUUCCUGACGCUGAGCACGAAAGCCAGGGAGCAACGGGAAUAGAUACCCCGGUAGUCCUGGCAGUAAACGUGUACGUUGGUAUGGG